rnacentral:rRNA from 1 species
AACGAACGCUGGCGGCAGGCUUAACACAUGCAAGUCGAGCGAGACCUUCGGGUCUAGCGGCGGACGGGUGAGUAACGCGUGGGAACGUGCCCUUCUCUACGGAAUAGCCCCGGGAAACUGGGAGUAAUACCGUAUACGCUCUUUGGGGGUAAGAUUUAUCGGAGAAGGAUCGGCCCGCGUUGGAUUAGGUAGUUGGUGGGGUAAUGGCCCAUCAAGCCGACGAUCCAUAGCUGGUUUGAGAGGAUGAUCAGCCACACUGGGACUGAGACACGGCCCAGACUCCUACGGGAGGCAGCAGUGGGGAAUCUUAGACAAGGGGGGCAACCCUGAUAUAGCCAUGCCGCGUGAGUGAUGAAGGCCUUAGGGUUGUAAAGCUCUUUCAGCUGGGAAGAUAAUGACGGUACCAGCAGAAGAAGCCCCGGCUAACUCCGUG